UGUGUUCAUUACUAAUCGAACUGAGGCCUUUUAAGGCAACAAGGCGUUGUUCUAACGUACUGCUCAGAAAGACAUGCCAGAUUGAACAUAUAUACUUUUUAAAUUUAUUGGAACCUUGUCAAGUCAAUGUGAACCUUAUGCAGUCUAGUUGCUAUUUAAGGGAGCUUACACACAAACAUUGAUAUGUUUGAAAGAAACGUUCACAACAGUUAACCAGAAAAAUAUAUACAGAUGAAGUAUUAUUAAGUGAUGCAUAUAUUGUACGUAUAUCAGACUGGACAGUAAAACAAAAGAAUUUAGAAAUCGUAUUUUGCUGCUUCUCCAAAAUGAGGUAAAUUAAUACAACACAUCAAAAAAUGAUACUAUGAAAUCUUGAGAAGUCUUUUUUUCCACUUUUUAUUGACAAUAUUGUGUGUUUUAGGAGGGGCUGACAGAACAAUACUUAUUUAUGACUUGUAUCCAGUGAUUUAUCAUUAGGUGAUAUAUAUUGCGAUAUAUACAUUUUCUUUUUAGUUCACCUGGCCUAAAAGUCUAUUGGGGUCAUUAACUUUUACAAAAUUCUCUUACACUACUGGGCCAAAUUUGACCAAACUUGGCCACAAUCAUCAUUUGGGUAUCUAGUUUAAAAAAAAAGAAAGUCUGAUGAACCCCUCCUGCCAACCAACAUGGCUGACAUGGCUAAAAAUAGAACAUAGGGGUAAAAUGCAAGUUUGGACUAUUAUCUUGAAAACUGAUAUGAAUGGAGAAAAUAAUGAGAUCUACAUAUUAUUUAUUACUUCAAAACUGGCAGACAAUUUCUUAUCAUGCUUAUAGGAGUUUAUGACGAUGAAUGAUGAAUUUUACAGAUAUUUUCAUGUUUGCCUAAUAUCUGAAAAACUUUAAUAGAGAGAAACUUUAUAUACCAAAAAUGAUCUGCAAAGUCUACAUAGUCGAAAUCGUCAGACGACUCCUUAUUGGAAUUAAUGCCCCUUAAUGACGAUUUUUAUCAUUUUUGCAUUUUUGCCUUAAAUCUGAAAAAA